rnacentral:sRNA from 1 species
UCGGCACCUUUUCCAUCCAAAUUAUUAGAGCUCAACGGAGCAAAUGUAGUGGAAAAU